rfam:Danio rerio chromosome 23, GRCz11 reference primary assembly.
AAUUUUUUCAUUUGUAAGUCGCUUUGGAUAAAAGCGUCUGCUAAAUGACAAUGU